GGUGUCGCCAAGCGGUAAGGCACAGGACUUUGACUCCUGUAUGCGUAGGUUCGAAUCCUGCCACC
rnacentral:tRNA from 1 species